UACGUAGGGGGCUAGCGUUGUCCGGAAUCAUUGGGCGUAAAGAGCGUGUAGGCGGCCCGGUAAGUCCGCUGUAAAAGUCAAAGGCUCAACCUUUGAAUGUCAGUGGAUACUGCCGGGCUAGAGUCCGGAAGAGGCGAGUGGAACUCCUGGUGUAGCGGUGAAAUGCGCAGAUAUCAGGAGGAACACCGAUGGCGAAGGCAGGUCUCUGGGCAUUAACUGACGCUGAGGAGCGAAAGCAUGGGGAGCGAACAGG
rnacentral:rRNA from 1 species